rnacentral:rRNA from 1 species
CAGCAACGGAUCUCUUGGCUCUCGCAUCGAUGAAGAACGCAGCGAAAUGCGAUAAGUAAUGUGAAUUGCAGAAUUCNGUGAAUCAUCGAAUCUUUGAACGCACCUUGCGCCCUUUGGCUAUUCCGAAGGGCAUGCCUGUUUGAGUAUCAUGAACACCUCAACUCUCAUGGUCUGCCAUGAUGAGCUUGGACUUUGGGGGCCUUGCUGGCUAACGUCGGCUCCUCUCAAAUGGAUCAGCUUGCCAGUGUUUGGUGGCAUCACGGGUGUGAUAACUAUCUACGCUUGUGGUUUCCCCCAUGUAACCUUCANCAAUGGAGGUUCGCUGGAGCUCACAGAUGUCUCUCCUUGGGGAGGACAGCUUUUGAACGUUUGAUCUCAAAUCAGGUAGGACUACCCGCUGAACUUAAGCAUAUCAAUAAGCGGANGAAAAGAAACUAACAAGGAUUCCCCUAGUAACUGCNAGUGAAGCGGGAAGA